rnacentral:rRNA from 1 species
UACAGAGGGGGCAAGCGUUAUUCGGAAUUAUUGGGCGUAAAGAGCGCGUAGGCGGUAUUUUAAGUGAGAUGUGCAAUCCCCGAGCUUAACUUGGGAACUGCAUCUCAGACUGGAAUGCUAGAGUACCGGAGAGGGUGGUAGAAUUCCACGUGUAGCGGUGAAAUGCGUAGAGAUGUGGAGGAAUACCAGUGGCGAAGGCGGCCACCUGGACGGUAACUGACGCUGAGGUGCGAAAGUGUGGGUAGCAAACAGG